CAGGUACUUCCCGGAGUCGGGGACAGGAAUGUCUGCCGCCUCAAGCUGCUGUCUCUUUUUAGCAGAAACACCACAACUGACGCGUUUGUUUUUAAAGCGAAUGAGGAAAUGAUAGUUCUGCCUCUGCCGCCUUCGCGCGAGGCCCACCCUUCAGUGGAAUAGGGGCAGGUGCCAAUUCUGCGACCCCGUGACCCAGGGAAGGUAACGGUUGAGAUAAGUCAGGGAGGCGCGCCAGCCCCCAGCCUGGUGGAGAGGAGGAGGUGACCCACCACCUUGACCUUAAGGGUCACAGGGCUAGAAAUGGGGGCGGGGGCAGAGCAGGGCGGGAGGCAGGCGCGGAGGCGGGCCCAGGAGCGUCCCCUCCCCCUGGUUCUGUACCGCCCCCUGGUGGAGAGCGGGGACCCUGCCACCCUCCGGCUGCCUCUGAGACAACCUCCACCAGCCGUCUCCUUCACGCGGGCCACUAGGCCUCCUCCUGCUCCGCAGAGAAGCUGCUGGUGGCUUCCAGAGGAGAGGGUGAUAGGGGAGUAAGCAGAGAGCCCAGGACGCAGAGGCCGCCCGGAGAGCCUCCUGCCGAGGCCAGAAGGGAAGCCUAGGACUCAGCAAGCGUCUUCACUCACAAAAGCUCUUUCGAGGCCUCAACAUUUGGUGUCAUCAGUCAUUUUGUGGAUGAGUAAAUAGCGGGCCCAGAAUGAUGCCGCGAUCGGUAAAGGGGCCACAAGGGGCUGGUCUGAGACCCAAGCCCACGUCUCUCCCUCUCUCCUGCGCUUCCAGAAGUGUCUGUGCCUCCAGGUCCCUCUCCUGUGCUCACUGGCACCCCUGCACGAGCCUGCUUCCCCGAGGCCCUGGCAGGGCUCCCUCCUGCCCCCCGCGCGAUGUCCCCAGUGGCUCACCCAGCAGGGCCAAGCAGAGCAGCUGAAGGAGCCUCAUGCCUCUGCUGGCAGAGGACCCUCUGCUCAGGCUCACGAGAGCUCCCUCAACAGGGCCACCUCCACUCUGGGGCCCCUAGGAGGCUCCCAGGGUGGGUUCCUGCAGCAAGGAGAUAACCCGGAGGCCACAGCACCCCAUGGGCUCAGCAACCAGGGCUGGGCCCAGAACAGCUAGGCCCCCGCACCGCCCCCCCCCCCCCCCCCCGGGGAAUUAGUAGGCCCCUGGGCCUUGGAACUAAACCAGGGCUUACACUCAACUGCCACUGCUGGGCUGUAGGGGCCUGGGCCUGUUUGGUAGGUAGAUGUUGGCGUCGUAAACCCUGGAAUAUGUAUGUUACUGGCAGAGGGGUAUUAAGGUUGUUAGUAUAUAUUUUUAAGUGUAUUUAUUUAUUUUGGGAGAGAGAGAGAGACAGAGGCAGAGAGAGAGGGAGGGAGAGAGAAUCCCAAGACGCGGGGCCAGAACCCACAAACUGCAUGAUCAUGACCUGAGCCAAAAUCAAGAGCCUGAUACUUAACUGACUGAGCCACCCAGGUGCCCCAACGUUGCUAAUCUUCUGAUUUGAGAUGGGGUCAUUAUUCUGGAUUAUGGGGACGGGCUGUUAUUCUUUCCCCAACCCCCUCCCCCCCCCCCAGGGGAGUCUGACUUAUGGGCAGGGUAUCUGGUGGGAUGGACCCGCUGGAGACACAGGCAGGAGAGGCCAUCUCUGCUCAUGUCACACCAGUUCGUUAGUGACCCCCUGUCAGGCACCUGCUAGGUGGCUGACACUGGGCUCAGCCCCCAAAUUAGAGCUCAGACUGGAUGAGGCCCCUGGUCACCCCCGGACGGUGAUGCAGUGCGGCAGGCACGGUGCUCCAGGACUGCCCUUGAACUCAGAGUGGCAUGGGGGCCCUUUCUCACACCUGCGGACAGUGGUCAUUCCCCAGGACCGAUGCCAGCCAGUCUAAAAAGAGGCCAAACCACAUCACGUACGGGUGGCAUGCGUGGUCUUUUUAGCAGUCUGCAACAGAGCUCACCGGAUCUGGGGAGAAGGGUGGGAGUGAGCCAGGAAAACAGAGAACACUAAGGUCAGACCAGGGCUGGGGGUGCUCAGGGCAGGGGGCUCAGGGCCGCCUGGAGUGAGGGAGCAGGUAAGGUGUGGCAGCCGGGCUCCUCCUGAGCCAAACCUGGGGCCGCUGGGCCGGCGGGACCUCUUUAUAGCCACGUUCAAUUAGGGUGUUCAAUUAGGGUGCCCCAUUGUGACAGCCUUCCUCAGGGAAGAUGUCCCGCCCCCAGAGGACCAUUUGCUCCCGGUGGGAGCUGUUCUCUCCUACCAAGCUUCACAGGCUGACCACGUGCCCAUGCCCCAUACAGCCCAGGGGUGAGCACCUGACCCAAGGAAGGCAGGGAUGCUGCCUCUGGGUACCCCUGGCCCUGCUCAGGGAAAGCCACUGGGGCCUGUGAGGUCUGGGCACGUUGGGAAGCUGGUCUAACGGAUGACCCUGCCACCUGUGAGCAGCAGGAAGGAUGAGGGGCCCGCAGCCAGAGCCCAGGGCACAGAUGGCUUGGAGCUCACUUGGGGACUAGAUGGGUCAGCGCCUUGGUGGCUCCCCUUCUCCCCAGCAGGCGAGAACCAGCAUCUGUCACUUGCCCCCCAGAUCGUGGCUCGUUCCCCGAGGAUGUGCCCCGUGGGCUCACCUACCUCCCUGCAUUUGGGGAGCAAGGGUACCCCCCCUCAGUUUCCUAGCCAAAUUCCCUUUCACAAAGCCUGUCCUCACUCUGCUGACAUGGUUGGGGGAAGGAAUCGAAGGAAUUAAUGAUUGCAGAAGGACAGAAGGAUGGUCUAGGUUGCUGCCCACCUGUCUCCCGGGGAGGCCCCGAAGCUCACGUCUUUUCCUCCAUGUUGUGCUCCGGGGAUGGGGUCUGAGCUCAGGCAAUUCAUGAGAAGCCUCCUCCUUCCAUCCAGGUCGGAGGAGAGGUGGUGGGCGGACCCGAGGAACAUUCCCCCCAGGGCUUUGAUGGGUAGGGCAUGAGGGCAUGUCUCCUGCCCCAGCCAGGAGCCCUCUCCAGCGACCACCUGUGUCGGUGUUUUCAGAGGAGGCUGGUCCUCUGAGCUCGUCUGUCUCUUCUCUCCACAGGCUGCAGGUAGGACGGGACUCCUCAGGACCCAGGUCACCUAGACUGUGUGGAGCAGGGGCUAUAAUACAACCUCAGUUACUCAAGACACACAUCAGGACACUUGAUAAGUAAUUGCUCAUUUAACCCUCAGAGGAGGGUGCCGUGAGCCCCACGUUGCGGCUGAGCAAAUGGGCCCAGACUUUGUCUUCUCCCUGGUGUUGCACUUGCCCGAUUCUCAGCAAAGGUUUGCUGAAGCAUGAGACAGUGACAAGGAAAGGCCCCUGGUGUCUCGGUGCAGCCUUCGACCACUCUGGGCCAGAAGAGCAUCACCCCCGGCGGCUCAUCACCAGACGGCGCUGGGCUCCACCCUGAGUUUCUGUUCCAGAUCCGUGGAGCCUGAGAAGAUGCAUUUCUACCAAGCUCCCACGGGAUACUCUCGCUGCAGGUCAGGGCCACGCUCUGUCUUGUUAAUAACAUGUGUCACUUUCACCCGAGACAGGCCAACGGCCCUCCCCUGACCGAGCACACAGCACCACGUGUUUCCCCGGAACAGGGCCCUGCAGUUGUUGACAGACUGACGGGUCAUGUGGCACCGGGUGGGUGAGAGAGGACAGCGACGGGAGGAGGUGAACCGGUCCAACCUCCAAUGCCCACGUGAGGGCCUGGGCCCGAGGGCAGUGGGCCAGAGCCGCCUCCAGCCUGGGAGUCCUGCCGGGUGCCAGGCUGCUGGAGGAAGUAGAGGUUUUCCAAGCACGUCAUGGGGUUUCUCCUGACCCUCCCUCCCGAAAGUUCUUGGGGCCAGCAUUCUCAGCCCUGGCAGCUUUAGAAACUCCCGAUGGCUGGCCGCUGUCUGCACCUGCGCCGAGCACAUCAGCAGUCCUGCCUGGCACAGGGCCAGUUCUCUAAGGCUGAGAGUCACUGCAGGGGUGGGGGUGGAGGCCCUGGGCUGCAUCCCUGCUCCGUGGCCCACUGGCUCCACCCCCUCCCCAGGCUGACUCUGGGGUGUGUCCAACAAUGCAGGUCUACGCUUGUCUCACAGCUCUUGUGGGGCGCCUCCCCGCCACCAGCCCCGCCACUCCUCGAGGUCAACUGAACGUGAGGGCGGGGGUCUUGCGGGGCAUGGAGGAGAGUUAGAGAACAGGUUCUGUAGAAGCUAGGGCCAAGGGACCUCUGUUCCGGGUUCCUGAGGAGGCCCACUUUGUUGAUGUGGGGUCCUGGGUCAGAAUAGAAGACCAUGAGGAAUCCUGCCAGGGAGAGGCUGGCCGUGGACCAUCUGUUACUCAGACUCGGGUAAGGUCUGGAAGCACCCCCGCCCCCCCUCCACCCAGGUCAGGGGGCAGGAAUGCACCAUGCUGGUGUAGUGUGGCUCUGGGACCAGCUCUGCUGCUUGGUGACUCCAGCAUCACUUGUGGGUCUCAGUGCUCUCAUAGGUGGAGAAGGGAUAGCAGGAGGCUGGUUGGGGGUGGGGGGCGCGGGGGGCAGCAAUGUGCACUCAGAGCACAGCAAGCCCCUAGUGCAGGUGUGCUCAGCGGCGGCCGGGUCUUGCCCUUCGCGUAGAUGUCAGCGGCGCUCCCCACAGGAAACAUUUUCUGAGCACUUCCGGUGGGUGUGUAUUUAUAUAUCGCAUUCGUGGUUUACUAUGCUAAUGUAUUAUGUACGUUAUAAACCAUCCAACAAAAAUAGAAACUUUACAGGACCGGGCUAAAAAUAGAAAUACAAGUCACCAUAUUUUCUUCCUGCUGCCCGGGGGCUCUCCUGCGUCCUGCUGGAGGGCCCACUGAGAGGGGCAGUGUUGUCCGGCACGGGGAGGGGGCAGGAGCUUGGGGCCAGGGGGACUCUGGUGGGGGAGGUGGGUCGAGCCCCGGGGAGGCUCCGGGCCCGAGGCAGGGGUCGAUGCUACAUCUCUGAGCCGCUGGGAAGGCGGAAUCUACGCGCGGGGCCCGGGUCACCGAAGAGCCCAGCGGGAUCCUCGAGGCCAGGUCCGGGCCUGGGGGUCCUGGGGCCCGGGGAGCCGGGGCACGGGAAUCCAGGGCAGAAGGAGCGCGGGCGCGAAGCUCGGGAGUGAAGGGCCUCGGGCCCCACAGAGUCGCCGGAGCCCGGUUCCGGCAGCAGCCGCGACAGGUCCUCCACUAGGUGCCACUUUUCCUGGACUUGCUGCGGGGGUUGGGGGAGAGCGAGCGGCCGGUUACGAGCGGCGCCUUCACCCCGGAGCCGGCGGGGACGAGCAACCGGCCCCGCAGCGCACCUAUGAAAUCCGCGGUGCCGGGCCCCCUGCCCCGCCCCUGCCCCGCCCAAGCCUCGCCCCACCCAGAGGCCACGCCCCACGCCUCCGUGAAGCCAGAGACCACGCCCCCAGUAGUACCGCCUCCAGAAAGAAGCCACGCCCCCACCAGGGCCCCGCCCCUCCCUCAACCCAGAGCCACAUUCUAUCAACCCCGCGUUCCCAAGCCUAAGGCCAUAGGCCUGUCACCUGGCUCCCGGCCUGAGGCCACGCUCCGGGGCGAGGUGUGACCCCUCCCCAGCCCAGCGGACACUCACCCACACCAGUUGCUUCCGGAUCCGCUGGAUGGCCCUCGCAUUGGCCUGGGACUGGGAGACGCAGACGGUCAGGACAAGGCUUUGGACAGACAGGAAUCCAAGGUCAGCUAUCCCUGGAGGGCAGGUGCCUCCCCUACUUCCUCUCUCCCCACCCCAGUGUCUUAACGCCUCCCGGGGUUUUUGUGUCUGCAGACACCUUUCUCUCUCCUGUCCUUCCUCCCCCUGGCAGCCUCUCUCCUCUAAAGGGCCGUAAGAAUACCUCAACUGCAGGCUUUUAGUGUGCCUGCAGGAGGGAUCGUGUGUCCCCGUGGGUCACACAAGGUACCUGCUCGAGGGGGCUGCCCAGGGCUACCUGCCUUUGGGCCCAAGCUCUGUCCUCUGGGACCCUGCCCCCCUCCCUCUCCUUGUCUUGCUCCCAGAUCCCAUGAGUGUCUGGGGGUGCUCAUCGAAGGACGGACGCCCUCCCAGGUGUGCCCCCUCUUGGCCCCUGCUGCCCUGAGAGGCACCUGAGCAGGAUGAGGGCGGGGAAGCUGAAGGCGUGGGAGCCCAGGUAGCGGAGGGUGCGCUGGCCGGAGGGCGGGAGCCGGAGGGCCAUCAGCUCUGGCACCACCUGCCAGGGGGCCGCGUAGUUGGCGAAGAGGCCGCAGUCCCAGGAGGAGUGGAUGCUGGGGAGAGACAGCCAGGGUGGGGCUGGCGUCAGGGCCCCGGGCGAGGAGGGGCUGCCUGCCCCCCAGCCUCGGGCACCUCUGCUGCCCUCACCUGCUGACCACAUAGCCCAGAGGCACGACGGCCAGGAGCAGGCCCAGGAUGAGCACCAGCUGGAAGAAGAAGGUGGAGCUGGAGGCGCGGAAUCUUCGGGGAGAGGCCUUGGAGUUCCUCAUCAGGGUGUACUGGGGGAGGCGGCAGCAGCCCCCGAGCCCUCACCUUCUUGAUGUAGAAGGUGAGGAAGAUGAAGACACUGUUGAGCAGAGGCAGCAGGGGACAGUAGAAGAGGCCCAUCCAGGUGAUCGUCUGGCCGGCCACAAUGUCCAGCACAUUCUUGGG